UACGAAGGGGGCUAGCGUUGCUCGGAAUCACUGGGCGUAAAGCGCACGUAGGCGGCUUUCUAAGUCAGGGGUGAAAUCCUGGAGCUCAACUCCAGAACUGCCUUUGAUACUGGAGAGCUCGAGUCCGGAAGAGGUGAGUGGAACUGCGAGUGUAGAGGUGAAAUUCGUAGAUAUUCGCAAGAACACCAGUGGCGAAGGCGGCUCACUGGUCCGGUACUGGA
rnacentral:rRNA from 1 species